rnacentral:lncRNA from 1 species
GAUUAGACCCUUUUUAAUUUCACCCCCCUCCGUGUUCCCAACUCCAGGGAUGGGUAGCACCAUCGAAGGACUGUCCCUCAUCUCUUUAUAAUAAAUAAAGACAUGAUGCCUGGACUAACAACUUUUUCAUGAGAACAGACUUUUGUUUCAACCUAGGAAACACCUUACUAAUUGCUCACCAUAGUCACUGUGGAUCAUCAGAACUCUGAAUGUUGUCUUGCAUUUUCCAUGCACUACAGUGUUGAAGAACGUGCUGGCAAGAGGCCCCCUGCAAAGAGAAGAGGACCUUUCAUGAUAAGACUGUGAGCUUGGGAGUCACCUGCUGGAAGUCACUUGGGCUAUUUGUGAGCAAAUACUUGUCACCGUUACCUCAUCUAAUGAGCCCUGCCCCCAAGGUGACACGCAAACUAGGAAAUUCAGGUACAGGCAUUUUCCAGUCUCAGAUGUCUGCUACUGCCAGCCACACCUUCUGUUGAAACUCAGCCAGAGUCAUUUCCUACUAGGCUUCAGAAAAUACCUGUAAAUGCUGUAACAAAC